GGGCUCGCAGGCGGUUUCUUAAGUCUUGAUGUGAAAGCCCCCGGCUCAACCGGGGAGGGUCAUUGGAAACUGGUGAAACUUGAGUGCAGAAGAGGAGAGUGGAAUUCCACGUGUAGCGGUGAAAUGCGUAGAGAUGUGGAGGAACACCAGUGGCGAAGGCGACUCUCUGGUCUGUAACUGACGCUGAGGAGCGAAAGCGUGGGGAGCGAACAGGAUUAGAUACCC
rnacentral:rRNA from 1 species